UUGAGCGCCCACAUUCAAACGGCCCCAUCGAUCGCUUUUUCCGACACCAGAUCGGCAUUCUCUAGCGCCAGUGCUCAGCUCCCAUGUCUGAUCUCAAGCCCAAGAUCGAGAUCUCAUUCGCGGGAACGUUCGCCAGCAAUGCUUUCGCCGCCUAUGUUGCAGAGAGUAUUGCAGUGGCCUUCAUGUUUCAGUCCCCUCCGCUUCUUUGGGCCAUGCUUCUUAAGUUCCCGUUCGGAAGUGCAUAUUCAGUUGAUAGGCCAAUUAAAUGUUUUGAGAGAGCAGCUGAAAGGUGUCACACGGAUUCA